rnacentral:rRNA from 1 species
GAUGAACGCUGGCGGCGUGCCUAAUACAUGCAAGUCGAGCGAACGGACGAGAAGCUUGCUUCUCUGAUGUUAGCGGCGGACGGGUGAGUAACACGUGGAUAACCUACCUAUAAGACUGGGAUAACUUCGGGAAACCGGAGCUAAUACCAGAUAAUAUUUUGAACCGCAUGGUUCAAAAGUGAAAGACGGUCUUGCUGUCACUUAUAGAUGGAUCCGCGCUGCAUUAGCUAGUUGGUAAGGUAACGGCUUACCAAGGCAACGAUGCAUAGCCGACCUGAGAGGGUGAUCGGCCACACUGGAACUGAGACACGGUCCAGACUCCUACGGGAGGCAGCAGUAGGGAAUCUUCCGCAAUGGGCGAAAGCCUGACGGAGCAACGCCGCGUGAGUGAUGAAGGUCUUCGGAUCGUAAAACUCUGUUAUUAGGGAAGAACAUAUGUGUAAGUAACUGUGCACAUCUUGACGGUACCUAAUCAGAAAGCCACGGCUAACUACGUGCCAGCAGCCGCGGUAAUACGUAGGUGGCAAGCGUUAUCCGGAAUUAUUGGGCGUAAAGCGCGCGUAGGCGGUUUUUUAAGUCUGAUGUGAAAGCCCACGGCUCAACCGUGGAGGGUCAUUGGAAACUGGAAAACUUGAGUGCAGAAGCGGAAAGUGGAAUUCCAUGUGUAGCGGUGAAAUGCGCAGAGAUAUGGAGGAACACCAGUGGCGAAGGCGACUUUCUGGUCUGUAACUGACGCUGAUGUGCGAAAGCGUGGGGAUCAAACAGGAUUAGAUACCCUGGUAGUCCACGCCGUAAACGAUGAGUGCUAAGUGUUAGGGGGUUUCCGCCCCUUAGUGCUGCAGCUAACGCAUUAAGCACUCCGCCUGGGGAGUACGACCGCAAGGUUGAAACUCAAAGGAAUUGACGGGGACCCGCACAAGCGGUGGAGCAUGUGGUUUAAUUCGAAGCAACGCGAAGAACCUUACCAAAUCUUGACAUCCUUUGACAACUCUAGAGAUAGAGCCUUCCCCUUCGGGGGACAAAGUGACAGGUGGUGCAUGGUUGUCGUCAGCUCGUGUCGUGAGAUGUUGGGUUAAGUCCCGCAACGAGCGCAACCCUUAAGCUUAGUUGCCAUCAUUAAGUUGGGCACUCUAAGUUGACUGCCGGUGACAAACCGGAGGAAGGUGGGGAUGACGUCAAAUCAUCAUGCCCCUUAUGAUUUGGGCUACACACGUGCUACAAUGGACAAUACAAAGGGCAGCGAAACCGCGAGGUCAAGCAAAUCCCAUAAAGUUGUUCUCAGUUCGGAUUGUAGUCUGCAACUCGACUACAUGAAGCUGGAAUCGCUAGUAAUCGUAGAUCAGCAUGCUACGGUGAAUACGUUCCCGGGUCU